rnacentral:rRNA from 1 species
UACGUAGGGGGCUAGCGUUGUCCGGAUUUAUUGGGCGUAAAGAGCGUGUAGGCGGCCAGGUAGGUCUGGUGUGAAAACUCGAGGCUUAACCUCGAGAUGUCAUCGGAAACCAUCUGGCUAGAGUCCGGAAGAGGCGAGUGGAAUUCCCGGUGUAGCGGUGAAAUGCGCAGAUAUCGGGAGGAACACCUAUGGCGAAGGCAGCUCGCUGGGACGUUACUGACGCUGAGACGCGAAAGCGUGGGGAGCAAACAGG